rnacentral:rRNA from 1 species
UACGUAGGGACCGAGCGUUGUCCGGAAUUACUGGGCGUAAAGAGCUCGUAGGUGGUUUGUCGCGUUGUUCGUGAAAACUCACAGCUUAACUGUGGGCGUGCGGGCGAUACGGGCAGACUGGAGUACUGCAGGGGAGACUGGAAUUCCUGGUGUAGCGGUGGAAUGCGCAGAUAUCAGGAGGAACACCGGUGGCGAAGGCGGGUCUCUGGGCAGUAACUGACGCUGAGGAGCGAAAGCGUGGGGAGCGAACGGG